rnacentral:rRNA from 1 species
GUAAUGUCUGGGAAACUGCCUGAUGGAGGGGGAUAACUACUGGAAACGGUGGCUAAUACCGCAUAACGUCGCAAGACCAAAGAGGGGGACCUUCGGGCCUCUUGCCAUCAGAUGUGCCCAGAUGGGAUUAGCUAGUUGGUGAGGUAACGGCUCACCAAGGCGACGAUCCCUAGCUGGUCUGAGAGGAUGACCAGCCACACUGGAACUGAGACACGGUCCAGACUCCUACGGGAGGCAGCAGUGGGGAAUAUUGCACAAUGGGCGCAAGCCUGAUGCAGCCAUGCCGCGUGUAUGAAGAAGGCCUUCGGGUUGUAAAGUACUUUCAGCGGGGAGGAAGGUGUUGUGGUUAAUA